rnacentral:rRNA from 1 species
AAAGGGAAGGGAGCCCGCAAGGGAAGCCGGCACAGGUGGUGCAUGGCUGUCGUCAGCUCGUGUCGUGAGAUGUUGGGUUAAGUCCCGCAACGAGCGCAACCCUCACCCUCUGUUGCCAUCGGGUCAUGCCGGGCACUCUGAGGGAACUGCCCCGGUCAACGGGGAGGAAGGCGGGGACGACGUCAAGUCAUCAUGCCCCUUACGCCCUGGGCUACACACGUGCUACAAUGGCCGGUACAGAGGGCUGCAAACCCGCGAGGGGGAGCUAAUCCCACAAAGCCGGUCUAAGUUCGGAUUGCAGGCUGCAACUCGCCUGCAUGAAGGAGGAAUCGCUAGUAAUCGCGCAUCAGCACGGCGCGGUGAAUACGUUCCCGGGCCUUGUACACACCGCCCGUCACACCACGAAAGCCGG